AAAAAAAGAAAAAAAAGAAAAAAAAAGGGUACUUAUCCAUUUAACGCUUGGAUAUCUUAAAAUGAUAAUAUGAAUUCUCCUAGGCUAAAACAAAGAGCUCAUCAUUAGACUCACUUGAAAAGCUUGACUUCUGUUCAUCUCCUCUCUGCACUGUCUUUCAUUAUUUCUCUCUUAACAGUUACGUACAAACGAAGUAAUGCUUGAAAAAUGACAAUUCUAAUUCAUAGUUAACUUGAAAUUUCCGUUAAAUUUCUAUUAGAAUACUUGAAAGUCUUGCUGUGAUUUUGUAGAUAAUGUCACUUCCUAUCUUCUUUUCCUUCAAAAGGCUGGAAGGCUUGAAAGUCAAUAAGAUAAGCCAUUUCCCAAAUUGCAAUGCCUCUACCACAGAGCUGAGCCCGAAAUGGGUUGAGAGUCCACCGAGUCAUGACUUGUUACCUCGAGUUGUGGCACCUCAAUAUAUGGAAAUUCCCACUUCUCCAAACUUAAUGCAACUUCAGCAGGUUCAUCUUGAUUUGGUUUAGUUUCGCUUCCUAAAGCUACAUAAACAGCUCAAACCAUUCCUUAAUUUGAAGCCAGUUUUCAUGCUGCUCGUAGAAUCACCAGACUGAAAUAUUAUGCUUUUUGAAAAUACUCUCCAGAUUUUGUAGCCACUCAGACUCAAAUUCAUAACUUCUUACAGCUACUAAAUGCCUGAAACAUUUCCGUCAUCUAUAGUUGCAUCGCGAAACUGUCGGAUGUUUCUAAGGGGAGUUUCACAAUGAAAUCUUCCGGUUUAUUUUCCAAUAUAAUCCAUGUUGGACCAGCACUAAAUGCGCUGAAAAAUGCACAUGGAAUGUUGAGUUUAGCAAAUUCUGGGCACAUAAUAUGAAACUAAAUCAUUUGGAAACCAGUACUUGGAUUGUUAUGUCAAGUAUCGAACCAAAUAUACAAGAAUACUUUGCAAAAUCAAGUUACAAAAUAGAAAUUUAUUUAACCCUUUCAAGAAAACUCAGAUUGAGGCAUCAAAGUGAAGAUCAUUACAUUUGGGGCUCAGACUCAAUAAAACUAGGACUGUGCUCGUCUGUGUAACCGCGAGAUCCACCCAGAAAACCCUAAAGCAUUCCGCUAUCGAUUAAAGGAAACCACAAGGGUAAUAGACUCACACCAACCCUUCCAAUACAUAAAGUAUAUGUUUUCACUAAUAAACAAUCAUAUAGAAAACACUUCCAAUUAGAGAUUGAAAGAAUACAGAAAAGUACAAAGAAGAAGAAUCUUGAAAAAUCACACACCAACGACCAAGAAAUGACGGUAUGAUUGAAUAGGGUAACCAAGGGAUAAUAAUUAUACUCUCACAAUCAGCCGUUGAUCAAGUUUCAUCUAACGGUCCAGAUGGCUUCAUAGUGAAUAGAAGAAAACACGUAUGAGCUGCAACUAAAAUGCCACGCCACAAAACAUGUUUUUAGCUUUGGGCUCGGGUUUUGGAUCAAGUCACGUCAUUGGGCAAGAGCCUAAGUAUUAAAAAAAAUAAAAUUUUAGCCCAUUAUUUCAUCAUUGCCCCAAGAGAUAAUUGGCAUCACAAUCCAAAACCUCCACCUUGAUGCCAACGGAUUUCUGGACACUUGCAACUCUACAAUUGACACCAAGUUCUACCUUUGUUCCCAUAUAUGAUGGAUUGAAUUGUGUAGGAAUUUUUUAAAGAAUGAAAGAUUCACUAGAGAUAAUAUUUCUAAUAAAAUGUAAUUUUACAUCUAUAUGUUUUGUUCUUUCAUAAAAAAAAGUAUUCUUACACAAAUGUAUUGCAUUUUGGCUAUCAAAAUAGACAACGAUAGGUUCAUUAAGCAAGUUUAUUUCAGAGAUCAAUCCCUUGAGCCACAAGGCUUCUUUUACAACCUCUGUGGUUGACAAAGCAACAAUGGACCAUAAUUGAGAUUUUCAACUUGCACAAGUACCAAAAAAGUAAACAUAUAAGCAUAUGUGGAUUUUCUAUUGUCUCUAUUACCAACAAAAUCAACAUAAACAAACCUUUAAGCAUUAUCCCUUUGUCAUUAUUUUUAAACACUAAUCCCAACUUGGAUGUGCCUUUCAAAUACCUAAGAAGCCACUUAAGAGCUUUCUAGUGUUUAGGGCGAUGGUUAGUCAUAAACCUACUUAAAGUGCUAAUUGCAUGAGCCACAUCAAGUCUGAUACAGACUAUAGAAUACAUGAUAGAUCCCACAACAUUAGCAUAAGGGACCUUUUCCAUAUAUCUUAUAUCAGAUUCAUCAAUUGGGCAUUACUCUUUAAUAAGUUUGAAAUGACUAACUAAAGGCAAGGAAACAGAUUUUGAUUCAUGCAUGAAAAACUUAGAUAAAACCUUCAACAUAUGCUGAUUGUUUCAAAAUUAACAUGGAUUGAGAUCUUUUACUAAUUGUGUCCAUCCCAAGUAUCCUUUUAGCAUGACCCAAAUUUUCAUGUCAAACUCAAUUCUAAAACUUCUUUAAUAUCAUUUAUCAGUUUAGAGUUAGGUCCUAUUAAUAACAUAUCAUUGACAUAUAAUAACAGGUAAACUGAUAUAACAGAUUCAGAACUUCUUUUAAAAUAAAGGCAAUGAUCAUAAGAGUUUCUUACAAAACCAACAGUUACAACAAAAUUAUCAAAAAUUUUAUAUCAUUGUCUAGGUGAUUGUUUCAAUCCAUACGUGCAAUAUCAUUUCCCAUCAUUAUUUCUCCACCUCCUAUCUUCUUAAAUUUUUGAAGCCAAGACCUUUCGUGUGUAAUUCGAAAGUUGUAGCCUGAGUCCAAAAUCCAUUCAUGGACAUGUUGUCUGUUAUCAGCAUAAUUUGCCAAUUCCAAAUUAUGCUACUGAGCCACAACCUUUACAUCAACAGUGUUAGGUUCAGCUGAUUUAAUCACAUUUUCCUCAUCUAUUUUCUUAUCUCUAUGUUCAUUCUUCUUGUUGUGGUAGUCUCUUAUAUUGUGCAUUAUUUUGCCACAACCAUAACACUUCCUAUUCUUUGAUUUUGAUUUUGACCUUGACUCAUUCCUAAAUUUCUUUCUAUUAUUGUUUCCUAAAUGAUUUUGAUUUUUCUGAGUAUUAUUUUGCCUAUUUGGUUGUCUACCUUUCAGAAACAAACUUUCUGAUUCCUUCCCAUGUCUUUUCAAUUUUAAGUUCUAAUUCUUUACUUCUUAAAGAAUUUAUAACAACAUCAAGAGUCAAACUAUCUCUACCAUACUUAAUGGCAGUUUUGACAUCUCUGUACGCCUCUGGUAUGGCAUUAAGAAAUAUUACUACCUUAUAUUCCUUUGAUAUUUUAUCCCCAACAUUAGUAAUGUCUUCUACCAGUUUAUUAAAGGCAUCAAGAUUAUCAUUUAAGUCUUUGGAUGAAUCAAUUUUAAAACUAGCGAACCUUUUGUUAGGCAAAGACUUGACUAAGUAUAGUUCUUCUAGUUUAUCCUAUAAUGCCUUAGAAUUGCCAAGUUUUCCUACCUUUCUCAACACCUGAUCAGACAAGUGAAGGAUAAUGGAGCUAUAUGCUAAUUCAUUAGAUUAAGUUCUCUAAUCAGUAGUCAUUGUUGUAGGGAAUUCACCAAUUAUAGCCUUAGAGACUUUCUGUUGUACUAAAAACCCCAUUAUUUUUUUGUUGCCAUAUAGGAAAAUCUCCCUUCCCAUUAAAGACCCCAAGUUCAAAACUAGUGAUGACCAUAUUAUCAAUCAAACUAGUCACAAUCAGUAAUAUAUAAGUUUGAUCACUCCAAGCAAAUAAAAAAGGGAUUAUGAUAUAUAGGCAAGACAGUAAAUAUUCUUUCAAGAGAGGAUAACACGUGAAUACAUAGGAUUACAAUUUUAUGAGGUGAGUCUCAGAUAUCAUGCACAAUACACUUAGAUAGCAUACGUACAUCAAGGGAGAAUUAUGUAGGUGUAGCAAUGAAAAUAGUGAAUGUGGACAAUUCAACCAACACGGUUAAAAUUUUAAAGAUCAAUUGCCCAACCCUACCAGGAUUCCGUGAGAAUCAAGUUCUCAGGUCAAGACAGGGCGGAGGGUAGAGGUUUUAUAGCAGAGAAAAAAAAAAGGAUCUCAAGGAAAAUACGUGAUUUACACGUUACUACAAUAAAAAAAAUAAAAAAAAUAGGCAUGUAAUAUUCUACACACAGCACCAAAGAGGCACUCGGUCAAUAAACAUUAUCAAGAAAUAAUAAGAAUCUAGGCAAAAGAGUAAAGUUCGAAAGAGUAAAUCAAGAUGGUGGUCAUUUCACUUGACCACCAACAGAUCUUGCCAAAACAACAGUCCACACACCCAGAGAUGGACAUAUCGCACCAUUAAAAAAUGCUUUUACAAGAAAAGGUUAGUUCCAUUUUAGAUUUGCUAGAUCUAGGGUUUAUAACCCCAAAUAUUCUCAAGAUCUACAGUAUAUCACUGGAACAUGGUUCGAUUUACACAAAAUAGCCAAUCGAAGGCUCUGAUACCAUUGUUAUGUCAAGUUUCAAAGCAAAUAUACAUGAUUACUCAAGAAUACUUUGCAAAAUCAAGUUACAAAAUAGAAAUUUAGUUAACCCUUUCAAGAAAACUCAUAUCAAGGCAUCUAAGUGAAGUUUAUUACAUUUGAGGUUCUGACUUGGUAAAACUAGGAUUGUACCUGUCUGUGUGACUACAAGAUCCACCCAGAAAAUCCUAAAGCAUUCCUCUAUCUGUUAAAGGAAGCCACCGGGGUAAUAUACUCAAACCAACCCUUUCAAUACACUAAGCAUAUGUUUUCAUUAAGAAACAAUCACACAGAACAUUUCUUAUCGAAGAUUGGAAGAACACAAAAAAGUGGGAAGUAGAAGAUUCUCGAAGAACCACACACCAACAACCAAGAAAUGGCGGUAUGACUGAAUAGGGCAACCAAGGGAUAAUAUUUAUACUCCCACAAUCAACCAUUGAUCAAGUCAUCAUCUAACUGCCUAGAUGGCACCAUAGUGAAUAGAAGAAAACGCAUAUAGGCUACAACCAAAAUGCCGUGCCACAAAACACGCUUUUGGUUUGGGCCUGGGUUUUGGAUCAAGUCACGUUAUUGAGCAAGAGCCUAAAUAUCAACAAAACGUUUUCGGGCUGUAGCCCAUUAUUUCAUAAUUGCCCCCAAGAGAUAAUUGGCAUCACAGCCCAAAACAACAUGGAUGAAUCUUGCGGACCAUAUCUUGAGAGAGAUUAUCAACUUUUGGCAAUUAAAAUCUAUUAGAUGGG
rnacentral:lncRNA from 1 species